ensembl:snRNA U6 U6 spliceosomal RNA
GUGCUUGCUUCGGCAGUACAUAUACUAAAAUAGGAAUGAUACAGAGAUUAGCCUGGCCCCAUGAAAGGAUGACACAAAUUCGUGAGGUGUUCCAUAUUUUA